rnacentral:rRNA from 1 species
AGUGAACGCUGGCGGUAGGCCUAACACAUGCAAGUCGAACGGCAGCACAGUAAGAGCUUGCUCUUACGGGUGGCGAGUGGCGGACGGGUGAGGAAUACAUCGGAAUCUACUUUUUCGUGGGGGAUAACGUAGGGAAACUUACGCUAAUACCGCAUACGACCUACGGGUGAAAGCUGGGGAUCUUCGGACCUUGCGCGAUUGAAUGAGCCGAUGUCGGAUUAGCUAGUUGGCGGGGUAAAGGCCCACCAAGGCGACGAUCCGUAGCUGGUCUGAGAGGAUGAUCAGCCACACUGGAACUGAGACACGGUCCAGACUCCUACGGGAGGCAGCAGUGGGGAAUAUUGGACAAUGGGCGCAAGCCUGAUCCAGCCAUACCGCGUGGGUGAAGAAGGCCUCCGGGUUGUAAAGCCCUUUUGUUGGGAAAGAAAAGCAGCAGGUUAAUACCCCGCUGUUCUGACGGUACCCAAAGAAUAAGCACCGGCUAACUUCGUG